rnacentral:lncRNA from 1 species
CGCGUGAAGUCACCCUCCGCUCACUUUACGCUCUCGACGCUCCGUUCGCGUCGCGCGCUCGAAGCUCUCGCGCUUCCGGCCCCCGCACGAUCUCACGCGUUUUUCUGCUUUACGCGUUAAAGCGCCGAAAGAAAUGACGUCCGCGGCUCCCGCUCUCGCGCCGCACCUCGCGAUGGAAGCGGCUCGACGACCGCACGCCGCGCGUCGUCUCGGUAUGAACGUCCCUCAGCCCGCGGUUCAGCGCUUCGACGUCCCGAGAGGUGCGCUUUCACGACCCUAUCUCGCCAGAUCGCGCCAGAUCCCCCCGAGCUGACGCGGCAGAUUCGCCGCCUUCGACGCGUUUUUUCCCCCCCCGGAACCGCGCGCGCGCGUCGCGCUCGAGCGUGAAUUCACCCUCCGUUCCCCC